rnacentral:rRNA from 1 species
UCCGUAGGUGGAUAAUUAAGUCAGAGGUGAAAGUUUGCAGCUCAACUGUAAAAUUGCCUUUGAUACUGGUUAUCUUGAGUUAUUAUGAAGUAGUUAGAAUAUGUAGUGUAGCGGUGAAAUGCAUAGAUAUUACAUAGAAUACCAAUUGCGAAGGCAGAUUACUAAUAAUAUACUGACACUGAUGGACGAAAGCGUGGGUAGCGAACAGGAUUAGAUACCCUGGUAGUC